GACGAACGCUGGCGGCGUGCUUAACACAUGCAAGUCGAACGGAAAGGCCCUGCUUGCAGGGUGCUCGAGUGGCGAACGGGUGAGUAACACGUGGGUGAUCUGCCCCUUAUUUUGGGAUAAGCCUGGGAAACUGGGUCUAAUACUGGAUAGGACCAUGCUGUAGGUGGUGUGGUGGAAAGAUUAGUUUCGGUAAGGGAUGAGCUCGCGGCCUAUCAGCUUGUUGGUGGGGUAAUGGCCUACCAAGGCGUCGACGGGUAGCCGGCCUGAGAGGGUGGACGGCCACAUUGGGACUGAGAUACGGCCCAGACUCCUACGGGAGGCAGCAGUGGGGAAUAUUGCACAAUGGGCGCAAGCCGGAUGCAGCGACGCCGCGUGGGGGAUGACGGCCUUCGGGUUGUAAACUCCUUUCAGCCAUGACGAAGCCCUUGUGGUGACGGUAGUGGUAGAAGAAGCACCGGCUAACUACGUG
rnacentral:rRNA from 1 species